rnacentral:rRNA from 2 species
AGAGUUUGAUCCUGGCUCAGGAUGAACGCUGGCGGCGUGCUUAACACAUGCAAGUCGAGCGAAAAUAAUUGAGAGCUUGCUUUUGAUUAUUUUAGCGGCGGACGGGUGAGUAACGUGUGGGUAACCUGCCUUUUACUGUGGAAUAAUCGUUGGAAACGACGACUAAUACCGCAUACGGUUCUUGGAAGGCAUCUUCUAAGAAAGAAAGGAUUUAUUCGGUAAAAGAUGGGCCCGCAUCUGAUUAGCUAGUUGGUGAGAUAACAGCCCACCAAGGCAACGAUCAGUAGCCGACCUGAGAGGGUGACCGGCCACAUUGGGACUGAGACACGGCCCAAACUCCUACGGGAGGCAGCAGUGGGGAAUAUUGCACAAUGGGCGAAAGCCUGAUGCAGCAACGCCGCGUGAAGGAAGACGGUUUUCGGAUUGUAAAAUUCUAUCAAUAGGGAAGAAAGAAAUGACGGUACCUAAAUAAGAAGCCCCGGCUAACUACGUGCCAGCAGCCGCGGUAAUACGUAGGGGGCAAGCGUUAUCCGGAAUUACUGGGUGUAAAGGGAGAGUAGGCGGCAAGGUAAGCGAUAUGUGAAAGCCUUAAGCUUAACUUAAGGAUUGCAUAACGAACUAUCUAGCUAGAGUACAGGAGAGGAAAGCGGAAUUCCUAGUGUAGCGGUGAAAUGCGUAGAUAUUAGGAAGAACACCAGUGGCGAAGGCGGCUUUCUGGACUGAAACUGACGCUGAGGCUCGAAAGCGUGGGGAGCGAACAGGAUUUGAUACCCUGGUAGUCCACGCUGUAAACGAUGAGUGCUAGGUGUCGGGGAGGAAUUCCCGGUGCCGGAGCAAACGCAAUAAGCACUCCACCUGGGGAGUACGACCGCAAGGUUGAAACUCAAAGGAAUUGACGGGGGCCCGCACAAGCGGUGGAGCAUGUGGUUUAAUUCGAAGCAACGCGAAGAACCUUACCAAGGCUUGACAUACCUUUGACAGAUGUAGAGAUAUAUUUUUCCUUCGGGACAAAGGAUACAGGUGGUGCAUGGUUGUCGUCAGCUCGUGUCGUGAGAUGUUGGGUUAAGUCCCGCAACGAGCGCAACCCUUAUCUUCAGUAGCCAGCAAGAGAGAUGGGCACUCUGGAGAGACUGCCGUGGAUAACACGGAGGAAGGUGGGGAUGACGUCAAAUCAUCAUGCCCCUUAUGUCUUGGGCAACACACGUGCUACAAUGGCUAGAAACAAAGUGAAGCGAGACGGUGACGUUAAGCAAAGCACAAAAACCUAGUCCCAGUUCGGAUUGUAGUCUGCAACUCGAGUACAUGAAGCUGGAAUCGCUAGUAAUCGCAAAUCAGAAUGUUGCGGUGAAUACGUUCCCGGGCCUUGUACACACCGCCCGUCACACCAUGGGAGUUGGAAGCGCCCGAAGUCGAUGACCCAACCUGCGAGGGAGGGAGUCGCCGAAGGUGAAGCCAGUGACUGGGGUGAAGUCGUAACAAGGUAACCAA